AUCUAAUUGAUGAGUCCUAAAUAGAACGAAACACGCGUACUUGAU
rnacentral:hammerhead_ribozyme from 1 species